CUUCUACAUUUUUGUUCAUAUGAUUUUUUUAUCAUGCCCAAUGCUCCAAUUAUUAUUGGUAUUGUUUUUACCCUCAUGCCCACAUUUUCAAUACUUCAAUUUCAAGGUUUUGUACUUCGACAAUUUCUUUGCUUCUUUUUUGACAUUAUCAUUAUUAUUAAAGCAGUGAGCUGGCAGGAUCGUUAGUAUGCCAGGAAAAAUGCUUAAUGGCAUCUUUACGUUCUGAGUUCAAAUUCUGCCGAGAUCAACUUUGCCUUUCAUCCUUUCUGGGUCGAUAAAUUAGCAAAAUAAUGUAAAUACAAUGCCAAUAAUAAUUGGUAUAGUAGCUGUGGUAAAAAAUACGAACAGACACACCAUAGUAAAGUGCAUAACUUUAUGUGAUCACUUGACCUACAAGAAAAAUUUUUUAAAUAUUAAUAUGCCUUAUAAAGCACAGCAUGUGUUCUAGAGAAUGUUUAAGACAACAUAAGAAAAUUAUGAGCUUGUUUUAAAAUUUGAGAUUACAUAGACAGUAUUUUAUGUAGGAUAUGGGCAAUUCCCAUGAGUACUAUCUUUUGAAUUUCUGCCAUUUUGGGGUUUCCUGAUAUCUGAGCUAUUAUUAUUAUUAUUAUUAUUAUUAUUAUUAUUAUUAUUAAUAAGAUAUGGUCCAUUGUCUUCUGCUGAACCAGGGUCAUCCUUUGACCCUAGAGUCACAGCAGGUUCUCAUCUCAUGGAGAGUACACGGCGUAAAAUGUGUGCGGAACCUAGCAACACUAUUUUCUGAAGUUCUCCCAUGUUAACACUGCAAGCGAGUUUGUUGAGCUGCUUAUCAAGGCCCUUUUUAAUUAGCCCUAACGCUCCAAUUAUUAUUAUUAUUAUUAUUAUUAUUAUUAUCAUUAUUAUUAUUAUUCAGCCAUUUUAAAAUCUUAGCUGCAGCAUUUUUUUUUACAAUAGCAGUUCAUAUUUUUUAGUUAUUAAUAUAUUACUCUAAAUCUGUAUAAUUUUCUUUUAUUCUUUCAGGUUGGCGAAAGAAUACGAGUUAUAUUGGACUGUGAAGAUAAUACAUUAGCCUUUGAAAAAAAUUAUGAAUUCCUAGGUGUUGCUUUCCGUGGCCUGCCAAAUACUCCCCUAUAUCCUGCAGUUUCUGCUGUAUAUGGUAAAACAGAAGUAUCUAUGGUAUAUUUAGGGCCACCUCUUGAUGGCUGACCAUUCCCAAAUGAACUAUAAAUAAAAAUGGACUUAAAACAAUUACUAGUUGAUUAAAUCUCCUUCCAUGAAGUUCCAGUCCACACUUGGCAGCUCUGGUGCAAUAUGAUGUCUACAUUAGUUCCAUUCACUAUGAACAGCUACAUACAACCAUAUAACAUCAUUGCAAAUGCUGGUGGCCCAGGAAUUUUGCUGUUGGAACUAAAGGACGAUAAUAAUGAUGAGACACAGUUUCUGUUGUUGGUUUUUCUUUUUUUUUUUUUUUUUUUUUUUUUUACUCCCACUCACCACCACUCAGCAGGAAUCUGUUUGAACUUCUUGAAGCGAUGAUAUUUCCAUAACAAUUUCCAUUUUUUUCUCUUUUUUUUUUACUUAUUUAUUUAAGAUUUUAUUUUGUUUUGUCUUUUUUUUUUCUCAUUCCUGAAAGUUGAAAAGAAACCUGAGUGUGGGUGUGUGUCUGAUUUAACGUCAUCAUCAUGAGUUAAAUUUUGUUUUGUUUUUGAUGAUUAUAAGAAAUUUAUUUACAUCUAUUUUUUUAUUUCAUGUUUUUUUUUUCAAUCCAUUUAUUUAUUAACCAACUCACAAAAAGAAAACACGUAAGAAAUGCAACAAAAUAUUUAUUAGGGAGACACACUAAUUAUAAUACUAGGAGGCCUAAAUCUCUCCUUCUCCCCCCUCUCUCUCUUCCCUCUUUAUCUCUCAACCUUUAUCUCUAUUCAGAAAAUUAAUUUGUCACCUUAAUUCCACAGAACCCUGUCUAUUUGUUACUUAAAGGUCAACAACUAAUAAAUGUUCAUUAUUAAAAAUAGAUCAACAAAGAAGAGGUUUAAAGAGACCUCUGAAUAAACCUAUCUUUGGUCUCACUUUCAUAUAACUAUUAUAACUGUUUCAUUAUUUCAACAUUUCCUGCAUUCCAUGCAAAUGUCUUCUUCAAUAGAACAAUUAUGCAAUGCUGGUCUUCAUCCUAUUUGCAUAGAGUCUCUGCAUGUGUUUGUGUAUUUGUUUGUGCAUGCAAGCAUGCAUGUGCAUUUGUGUGUGUGUGUGUGUGUAUGUGUCUGUGUGUGUGUGUGUGUGUGCAUUUAUGUAUGUGUGAUGUUCACAGAUUUUUAACUGGUUGCCUUUUUCAUUAAAUGACUUUGAUCUGAAUGACCAUCCUCUAUUCAGCAUUAACGUGUAUUUUUAAACUGCUAGAGAGCAAAAAUGAACACACACAAAGAAAGAAAAAGAACAGCAAAAAGAAGAAAAAAAUGAUGCAAAUAACCCUUUGACUUCUACUUCAACUAUCUGCUCAAAAUCUGUAUUAAACUUUAAAGUAAUAUCACUCAUAUCAAUAUUCAUUCCCUGUCAAUCCUUCAGUCAAUCAACACAAGUCUGAUUACUCUUCAGCAAGCAUCCAAGUGACACAUUCUUUCCAUCUUUCUUUUUAUCUACCACUAAUCUAUAAACUUCUUAAAUAACAACAAAAGCAACAACAGCAACAACAAAAAUACAAAACAUGCACUAGAAAAUUAGUAAUAUUAAAGAAAAAAAAAUAUUUAUACCUUAUUUUUAUGUA